rnacentral:rRNA from 1 species
UACGAAGGGGGCUAGCGUUGUUCGGAAUUACUGGGCGUAAAGCGCACGUAGGCGGAUAUUUAAGUCAGGGGUGAAAUCCCAGAGCUCAACUCUGGAACUGCCUUUGAUACUGGGUAUCUUGAGUAUGGAAGAGGUAAGUGGAAUUGCGAGUGUAGAGGUGAAAUUCGUAGAUAUUCGCAGGAACACCAGUGGCGAAGGCGGCUUACUGGUCCAUAACUGACGCUGAGGUGCGAAAGCGUGGGGAGCAACAGG